rnacentral:rRNA from 1 species
AGAGUUUGAUCCUGGCUCAGAUUGAACGCUGGCGGCAUGCUUUACACAUGCAAGUCGAACGGCAGCGGGGGCUUCGGCCUGCCGGCGAGUGGCGAACGGGUGAGUAAUGCAUCGGAACGUGCCCAUGUCGUGGGGGAUAACGUAGCGAAAGCUACGCUAAUACCGCAUACGCCCUGAGGGGGAAAGCGGGGGAUUCUUCGGAACCUCGUGCGAUUGGAGCGGCCGAUGUCGGAUUAGCUAGUUGGUGGGGUAAAGGCCCACCAAGGCGACGAUCCGUAGCGGGUCUGAGAGGAUGAUCCGCCACACUGGGACUGAGACACGGCCCAGACUCCUACGGGAGGCAGCAGUGGGGAAUUUUGGACAAUGGGGGCAACCCUGAUCCAGCCAUGCCGCGUGAGUGAAGAAGGCCUUCGGGUUGUAAAGCCCUUUCGGCCGGGAAGAAAUCGUGGUCUCUAACAUAGGCCAUGGAUGACGGUACCGGACUAAGAAGCACCGGCUAACUACGUGCCAGCAGCCGCGGUAAUACGUAGGGUGCGAGCGUUAAUCGGAAUUACUGGGCGUAAAGCGUGCGCAGGCGGUUUUGUAAGACAGAUGUGAAAUCCCCGGGCUCAACCUGGGAACUGCGUUUGUGACUGCAAGGCUAGAGUACGGCAGAGGGGGGUGGAAUUCCACGUGUAGCAGUGAAAUGCGUAGAGAUGUGGAGGAACACCGAUGG